rnacentral:rRNA from 1 species
GACGAACGCUGGCGGCGUGCUUAACACAUGCAAGUCGAACGGAAAGGCCCUGCUUUUGUGGUGUGCUCGAGUGGCGAACGGGUGAGUAACACGUGAGUAACCUGCCCUUGACUUUGGGAUAACUUCAGGAAACUGGGGCUAAUACCGGAUAGGAGCUCCUGCUGCAUGGUGGGGGUUGGAAAGUUUCGGCGGUUGGGGAUGGACUCGCGGCUUAUCAGCUUGUUGGUGGGGUAGUGGCUUACCAAGGCUUUGACGGGUAGCCGGCCUGAGAGGGUGACCGGCGACAUUGGGACUGAGAUACGGCGCAGACGCCUACGGGAGGCAGCAGUGGGGAGUAUUGCACAAUGGGCGGAAGCCUGAUGCAGCAACGCCGCGUGCGGGAUGACGGCCUUCGGGUUGUAAACCGCUUUCGCCUGUGACGAAGCGUGAGUGACGGUAAUGGGUAAAGAAGCACCGGCUAACUACGUG